CGCCCUUUUCCGGUUGAUCCUGCCGGACCUGACUGCUAUCAGAACGGGACUAAGCCAUGCGAGUCUGCCAUUUAGAGCAUGUUAUUUGGCGGCGAACGGCUCAGUAACACGUAGUCAACCUGCCCUCGAGUCGAGAACAAUCUCGGGAAACUGAGGCUAAUUCUCGAUAGAUCAAGAUUCCUGGAAUGGGUUUUGGUCUAAACGGGGUGACAGCAUCUUGUCAUUUCCGCUCGAGGAUGGGACUGCGGCCGAUCAGGCUGUUGGUGGGGUAAAGGCCCACCAAACCAGUAACCGGUACGGGCUUUGAGAGAAGGAGCCCGGAGAUGGACACUGAGACAAGGGUCCAGGUCCUACGGGGCGCAGCAGGCGCGAAACCUUCGCAAUGCCCGCAAGCGCGACGAGGUUAUUCUGAGUGACUUCCGCUGAGGAAGUCUUUUCCUAGAUCUAAAAAGUCUGGGGAAUAAGGGGAGGGCAAGUCUGGUGUCAGCCGCCGCGGUAAUACCAGCUCCUCGAGUGGUCAGGGCGUUUAUUGGGCCUAAAGCAUCCGUAGCCUGCUCGGUAGGUCUUCUGUUAAAUCCAACGGCUCAACCGUUGGUCUGCAGGAGAUACCGCCGGGCUAGGAGGCGGGAGAGGCGGACGGUACUCCGAGGGUAGGGGUAAAAUCCUUUGAUCCCCGGAAGACCACCAGUGGCGAAGGGCGGUCCGCCAGAACGCGCUCGACGGUGAGGGAUGAAAGCUGGGGGAGCGAACCGGAUUAGAUACCCGGGUAGUCCCAGCUGUAAACGAUGCGAGCUAGGUGACACGAGGCCUUCGGGGCAUCGUGGUGCCGCAGGGAAGCCGUUAAGCUCGCCGCCUGGGGAGUACGGACGCAAGUCUGAAACUUAAAGGAAUUGGCGGGGGAGCACCACAAGGGGUGAAGCCUGCGGUUCAAUUGGAGUCAACGCCGGGAACCUUACCGGGAGCGACAGCAGAUUGAAGGUCAAGCUGAAGACUUUACCAGACGAGCUGAGAGGAGGUGCAUGGCCGUCGCCAGCUCGUGCCGUGAGGCGUCCUGUUAAGUCAGGCAACGAGCGAGACCCAAAGGGCGAAUU
rnacentral:rRNA from 2 species